rnacentral:rRNA from 1 species
UACGUAGGGGGCAAGCGUUGUCCGGAAUUACUGGGCGUAAAGAGCUUGUAGGCGGUCUGUCGCGUCGAUUGUGAAAACUCACAGCUCAACUGUGAGCUUGCAGUCGAUACGGGCAGACUAGAGUACUUCAGGGGAGACUGGAAUUCCUGGUGUAGCGGUGAAAUGCGCAGAUAUCAGGAGGAACACCGGUGGCGAAGGCGGGUCUCUGGGAAGUAACUGACGCUGAGAAGCGAAAGCGUGGGUAGCGAACAGG